rnacentral:rRNA from 1 species
UACGAAGGGGGCUAGCGUUGCUCGGAAUGACUGGGCGUAAAGGGCGCGUAGGCGGAUUGAUUAGUUAGGCGUGAAAUUCCUGGGCUUAACCUGGGGGCUGCGCUUAAUACAGUCAGUCUAGAGUAUGGAAGAGGGUCGUGGAAUUCCCAGUGUAGAGGUGAAAUUCGUAGAUAUUGGGAAGAACACCGGUGGCGAAGGCGGCGACCUGGUCCAUUACUGACGCUGAGGCGCGAAAGCGUGGGGAGCAAACAGGAUUAGAUACCCUGGUAGUCCACGCCGUAAACGAUGUGUGCUGGAUGUUGGGUGGCCUAGCCAUUCAGUGUCGUAGCUAACGCGAUAAGCACACCGCCUGGGGAGUACGGCCGCAAGGUUGAA